rnacentral:lncRNA from 1 species
CAUACAGAAAUUAACUCAAGGUGGGUUAAAGACUGGAAUGUAAGACCUGAAACCAUAAAAUUCCUAGGAGAAAACAUAGGUGUUAAGCACCUUGCCAUAGGUCUUGGUAAUUGUUUUUUGAAUCUGACACCAAAAGCAAUAAAAAUAAAUAAGUAGGACUAUCAAACUCAACAGAUCCUGCGUAAAAAAGAAAACCUUCAAAAAAUGAAAAGGCAACUUGCUGAAUGGGAGAAAAUAUUUUCAAAUCAUGCAUCUGAUAAAGGGGUUAAUAUCCAAAAUAUAUAAAGAGUUCAUACAACACCAUUACCAAACAAAAUGUUUAAUCCCACUUAAUGAGCAGAGGAUCUGUAUAUACACCUUUCAAAGACAGAUGACCAACAGGUUACAUGAAAAGGUGCUCGACAUCACUGAAUGUCAGGGAAAUGCAAAUCAAAACCACAAUAAGAUACCACCUCACACCUAUUAGAAUGGCUAUUCUCAAAAAGAAAAGAAAGAAAUGUUGGUGAGGAUGUGAAGAAAAGGGAACUCUUGCGCACUAUUGAUGGAAUGUAAAUUGGUACAAUCACUGUGGAAAACAGUUUGGAGGAUCCUCAAGAAAAUUAAAAAUAGAGCUACCAUAUAAUCCAGCAAUUCCACUUCUGGAAAAGACGUGGAAGAAGAAAGUGAAAACACUAACUCAAAAAGAUUUUUGCACCUCCAUGUUCAUAGUAACAUUAUUUACAAUAGCCAAGAUAUGGAAGCAACGUAAGUGUCCAUCAGUGGAGGAAUGGACAAAGAAAGUGAGGUAUAAAUAUAGAUAUAUUACUCAACCAUUAAGAAAGAAGGAACUUUUGCCAUUUUUGACAACAUGGGUGGACCUUGUGGUUAUUACGUAAGUGAAAUAGGUCAGGAAGAGAAAGAUGAUUUCACCUUAUACGGAAUCUUAAAACAAUAACAACAACAAAAGGCAAGCUUAAGCUUUCAAAUACGGGGAACAGAUUGGUGGUUUCCUGAGGCAGGAGAUGAGGGGUGAGAGCAAUGAGUUGAAGGGAGUCAAAAGGUACAAACUUCCAAUUAUAAAAUAACAAAGUCCUGGAGGUGUAAUGUACAGCAUGGCGGCUACAGUUAGUAAUACUGUAGUGCUUAUUUGAAAACUGCUAAGAGAGUAGAUAUUAAAACUCUCAUCCCAAGGGGGAAAAAUGUAACCAUGUAUGAAAACAGAUGUUAAAGAGACUCACUGUAGUCAUCAUUUCACAAUGUGUAACGUCACAUCAUUAUGUUGUACACCUGAAACUAAUACAAGAGUAUGUCAAGAACAAAGCCAAGUCUCACACUAGUCGUUACCUCUGGGUGAGAAUGAACUUGUACAAACUGGGAAGAUAGAAAAGAAACUUCUGGAGGGCUAGACAUAUUCAAUGACUUCAUCUGUGCGAUGAUCCAUGGAUAGAAAUGUAUGAAUAAACCCUGAAUUCUACACGAAUGCAAUUUCACAUUUUAUAUGUUGUUAUCUCAAACAGAAAAAAAAAAAUAGGUAAAAAUGAUUCAGAAGGGAGGAGGGCAUAAAAGGCGCAAAAAACUAGCUCUCCACCUUCGUCGUAUGCAUCAAUACAUACAUUUUAUACCUUUUGAAUACAUUAUGCAUUGUGCUUCUAUCACAGCAUCUUAAUGAAAGCAGCUGCAUAACUAACAUCUCGAUCAAAGGUAUUGUGUUCUGAAGUUCCUUGGAAAUUUGUCAGGAUGGGAUACAAGUACUUCUAGCAUAAGAGCAAGAGCAUAGACUUGCGUUCAAACCCUAAGGUUUCUACAUACUGGCUGGAUGACUCAGCAAGUGACAUAACUUCUCUGUCUCUAUUUCAUCUGAAAAAGACAUGAGCAUGCUUUGCAGAGUUGCCAUGCAGCAGAAAUGAGAUGGUGCACAGAAAAGGCAAAUACAUGUUACCAACUGCUGUAUAUGAAGUAGAUAGACAACCAGGUCCUGCUGUACAGCACAGGGAACUAUCUUCAAUAUCUUGUAAUAAACUAUAAUGCAAAAGAAUCUGAAAAAGAAUACAUAUGUAUGUGUGUGUGUGUGUGUGUCACAAUUGAAUCACUUUGAACACCUGAAACUAACACAACAUUGUAAAUCAACUAUAAUUUAAAAGAAGUAAAUUUUAAAAAAGCAAGCAUGUGAACUGUGUGGACGAAUUAUUUUACUCCCUGCUCCUUACCCCUAGAGAGUCAGAGGACACCACUGUAUUAAAUGUGACACAACCUGCAUCUUUCUACCAGCGCAUUUUCUUAAUGAUCCUCCCCGAAAUAAUGAACCCUUCCAAGAGUGCACUGGAGAAGUGAACAGAGAAAUAGACAACUAUAUUGAUAACUUAGGAACUAAAAUUUCUGGUGGAAAAAAAAAUGAAACAUGAGAACAUCCUCACACGUUUUUCUACCUUUAGGUAUCAUGUCCCAGCACAGUCCUGGUGAGUUUCCUAGAAUCCUUUUCUUUUCCCCAAAUAAAACCAUACAUGCUGAAUACUGUUGGCCUUCUUGCAAAGGAGAGAAGCCUGUCAUAUUCAAGACUCUUGGUUGCAAGUGACAGAAAACCCUGCACCAACAGGCUUUAAAUAGAAAGGAGAGGAUCAGCUGGCAUAAUGGAAAGAUCUGAGGUGGCACUGGAGUCAAGCACAGCUUACUGGGGGCUCAAAUACCCCCAGGCUGGGGUCUCUCCACUCCCCCCACAUCCCCCUCCCUAUGCUGCAACUGUAAUGGCUUCACUCUCAGGCAGGCUUCUCCAGAGGAGACAUCCUCCCCCCUCAUGGCCCACCCUUCCCCACUGCAACACCAGGCAUACAUCUCAGCUGGAAAAAAAAAAGAGCUUCUCAUUGCUCUAAACCCACAGGGAAGUAUGGGUUGGCCUCAGAUAAUCAUAAUAUGCCAGCGUCAGGAAGCCGUAUCUACUCAGAACCAGACACACAUUCCCAGUAUUUGUGUGAUGCUGGGCAAAUCUUUUGCUCCCUCUGGACCUCAACUCUUUCAUAAAAUCUCAAUGUUGUCUCGCAUCUGUUCCAGAGCUAGUAAAUAGUUCUUCCCUUUUCCACAGUAAAAGUUCCUUCCCCCGGACUCCAGAUAAUGGUGCCCUUUAGGGGUUGAUUCUGUAGUUGCCUUUUCAUUCGAUAUUUUGAUGUGUAAAUAUUUCCUAAUUCACGAAGAGACAUAUCCUGAACCAAGUUAUUGUAAGAUGAAAUUCCAGACUGAAAUCUACUUUAUUUCUAUUUUCAUUUUAAAACAGAAAUAGGUGUAUAUUCUAACAUGAUCAAUUAAAGCCAUGAAUUCCAAUUUUAUUACUGUAUUAGUUCUAUCCCACACACGUCCUUAAGUUGUAUUUCCUCAUUGUUCAGUCAUAAGUCUUUUCUAACACCCCUCUCUUUGUGAUUUCUUCUUUGAUCCGGGAGUUAUUUAGUAACGCGUAACUUCAUUUCAAAAUCUUUGGGGAUUUACUAGAUGUCUUUUUUUUUAUUAUCAAUGUCUAACAAUUUCAUUGUGGUUAUAGAAUAUUCUGUAUGAGUCAAUGCUUUAAAUCUAAGACUUGUUUUAUAGCCCAGCAUAUGGUUAUUCUUGAUGAAUGUUCCCUGUGCACUUGAAUAGAAGGUGUAUUGACAUGUGCAGUGGGUGGUGUUUUUUAGUAGGUUUAAUCCUUUAGGAUGUGCUUCAAAUCUUCUGUAUCCUUCCUUUGUCUACUUUAUUAUCAGUUAACUGAGAGUGGAGUGUUGAAAUAUCCGAAUGUAUUUGUGGAAUUAUCUAUUUCUCCAUUUUGCUUUGUACCUAUAAUUUGGAGCUCUGUUAGUAGAUAUUUUCAUAUUUAGGAUUGGUAUGUAUUCUUGAUGAAUGGACCUUUGCGUUGUAAUAAAAUACCCUUUUUAUACUUG